rnacentral:lncRNA from 1 species
AAACUGGCUUUAAAAGCUCGCCACCAUGUAUUCAAAGUGACAGUGCUGCUUUUAAGAACCCUUAAUUGUUGACUGGUUACCAUUUUAUGAAGUUCCAAAAGCAGAUAGUUCUCCUUGGCCAGAAGAACGUGGUGAGAAACCCUGGAGGAUGGUGGAACGCAGAUGUUUAUGUGCAGUUAUAAAUACUGCCAAAAUUGGGUUGCUUGAGAUAACAUUUCAUAUCGAAAUCAACCAGCCAGUGCAGAAGAAAACAAUCAGCAGUAUAAGGCAGUCCUUUCCUUCAGGACCAAGUACAU